rnacentral:rRNA from 1 species
UACGAGGGGGGCAAGCGUUGUUCGGAGUUACUGGGCGUAAAGGGUGCGUAGGCGGCCCUGUAAGUAUGGUGUGAAAUCUCCCGGCUUAACUGGGAGGGUGCGCUAUAGACUGCGGGGCUCGAGUGUGGGAGAGGAAAGUGGAAUUCCUGGUGUAGCGGUGAAAUGCGUAGAUAUCAGGAGGAACACCGGUGGUGUAAACGGCUUUCUGGACCAUAACUGACGCUGAGGCACGAAAGCGUGGGUAGCAAACAGG